rnacentral:rRNA from 1 species
UACGUAGGUGGCAAGCGUUGUCUGGAAUUACUGGGCGUAAAGGGCGUGUAGGCGGGAAGGCAAGUCAGAUGUGAAAUCCCAGGGCUUAACUCUGGAGCUGCAUCUGAAACUGUUUUUCUUGAGUACUGGAGAGGAAAGUGGAAUUCCUAGUGUAGCGGUGAAAUGCGUAGAGAUUAGGAGGAACACCAGUGGCGAAGGCGGCUUUCUGGACAGUAACUGACGCUGAGGCGCGAAAGCGUGGGGAGCAAACAGGAUUAGAUACCCUGGUAGUCCACGCUGUAAACGAUGGAUACUAGGUGUGGGAGGUAUCGACCCCUUCCGUGCCGGAGUUAACACAAUAAGUAUCCCGCCUGGGGAGUACGGCCGCAAGGCUGAA